GCUGAUAUAGUUUAAUUUUAAAACAGUUGUUUUGUAAACAGCUAAAUAAGAGUUAAAUUCUCUUUGUCAGCU
rfam:Theileria orientalis strain Shintoku apicoplast DNA, partial genome.